AGUGAACGCUGGCGGUAGGCCUAACACAUGCAAGUCGAACGGCAGCACAGUAAGAGCUUGCUCUUACGGGUGGCGAGUGGCGGACGGGUGAGGAAUACAUCGGAAUCUACUUUUUCGUGGGGGAUAACGUAGGGAAACUUACGCUAAUACCGCAUACGACCUACGGGUGAAAGCAGGGGAUCUUCGGACCUUGCGCGAUUGAAUGAGCCGAUGUCGGAUUAGCUAGUUGGCGGGGUAAAGGCCCACCAAGGCGACGAUCCGUAGCUGGUCUGAGAGGAUGAUCGCCCACACUGGAACUGAGACACGGCCCAGACUCCUACGGGAGGCAGCAGUGGGGAAUAUUGGACAAGGGGCGCAAGCCUGAUCCAGCCAUACCGCGGGGGUGAAGAAGGCCUUCGGGUUGUAAAGCCCUUUUGUUGGGAAAGAAAAGCAGCAGGUUAAUACCCCGCUGUUCGGACGGUACCCAAAGAAUAAGCACCGGCUAACUUCGU
rnacentral:rRNA from 1 species